rnacentral:rRNA from 1 species
UUAAGCUAGAAAGGGCGCACGGUGGAUGCCUCGGCGCCAGGAGCCGAUGAAGGGCGCGGCAAACGGCGAUACGCCCCGGGGAGCCGUAAGCAGGCGUUGAUCCGGGGAUUCCCGAAUGGGGCAACCCACCGCCCGGAAUGGGGCGGUAUCCCGGAGGUGAAUCCAUAGCCUCCGGGAGGGCACACCGGGGGAACUGAAACAUCUUAGUACCCCGAGGAGAAGAAAGCAACCGCGAUUCCCUUAGUAGCGGCGAGCGAACGGGGAAGAGCCUAAACCGGAAGGCUUUGCCUUCCGGGGUCGUGGGGCGCCUCAGAUGGGAGUGACAAAAGGCGGCGGUAGGUGAAGAGGUCUGGAAAGGCCCGCCAGAGAGCGUGACAGCCGCGUAACCGAAACCGUCGCCUCUCCCGAGGCGGACCCCGAGUACCACGGGACACGGGAAAUCCCGUGGGAAUCCGGGAGGACCACCUCCCAAGGCUAAAUACUCCCUGGCGACCGAUAGCGCACCAGUACCGUGAGGGAAAGGUGAAAAGCACCCCGGGAGGGGAGUGAAAGAGAACCUGAAACCGUGUGCCUACAAGCAGUCGGAGCGCGAUGCCCGCAAGGGCAAGCGUGACGGCGUGCCUUUUGUAGAAUGAACCGGCGAGUUACGGUCGCGUGCGAGGUUAAGGCUGGAGAGCCGGAGCCGUAGCGAAAGCGAGUCCGAACAGGGCGCUUGAGUACGCGGCCGUAGACCCGAAACCGGGUGAUCUACCCAUGCCCAGGGUGAAGUCGGGGUAAUGCCCGACGGAGGCCCGAACCGGUUGGUGGUGAAAAACCAUCGGAUGAGGUGUGGGUAGGGGUGAAAUGCCAAUCGAACCCGGAGAUAGCUGGUUCUCCCCGAAAUAGCUUUAGGGCUAGCCUCGGGAUGUGAGUGCCGGAGGUAGAGCACGGAUUGGGCUAGGGGCCCUCACCGGGUUACCGAACUCAGUCAAACUCCGAAUGCCGGCCACUCGAAUCCCGGGAGUCAGACCGCGAGCGCUAAGGUCCGUGGUCGAGAGGGGAACAGCCCAGACCGCCAGCUAAGGCCCCCAAGUGCGCGCUAAGUGGGAAAGGAUGUGGCGUUGCGAAGACAACCAGGAUGUUGGCUUAGAAGCAGCCAUCAUUUAAAGAGUGCGUAAUAGCUCACUGGUCGAGUGACGCUGCGCCGAAAAUGUACCGGGGCUAAGCGCGCCGCCGAAGCUGCGGGUGCCGCACCUUUCGGAGCGGCGCGGUAGGGGAGCGUUCCGCCCAGCGUCGAAGGCCGACCGUGAGGACGGCUGGAGCGGGCGGAAGUGAGAAUGCCGGUGUGAGUAGCGAUAAGACGGGUGAGAAUCCCGUCCGCCGGAAGCCUAAGGGUUCCUGAGGAAGGCUCGUCCGCUCAGGGUUAGUCGGGACCUAAGCCGAGGCCGAAAGGCGUAGGCGAUGGGCAACGGGUUGACAUUCCCGUACCACCUCCGCUCCGCUUGAGCGAUGGGGGGACGCAGGAGGGUAGGGGAGCGCGCGGCUGGAAGUGCGCGUCCAAACGGUUAGGCUGGCAGAUAGGCAAAUCCGUCUGCCACANCGCGCGGCUGGAAGUGCGCGUCCAAGCGGUUAGGCCGGCAGAUAGGCAAAUCCGUCUGCCACAAAGGCUGAGCCGUGAUGGCGAGGGGAAGUUCAGUACCCGAAGUCCCUGAUCCCACACUGCCGAGAAAAGCCUCUAGCGAUGGAGCGAGGUGCCCGUACCGCAAACCGACACAGGUAGGCAGGGAGAGAAUCCUCAGGCGCGCGGAAGAACCCUCGCUAAGGAACUCGGCAAAAUGGCCCCGUAACUUCGGGAGAAGGGGUGCCUCGGUAGGGUGAUGAGCCCGAGGAGGCCGCAGUGAAGAGGCCCAAGCGACUGUUUAUCACAAACACAGGUCUCUGCGAAGCCGCAAGGCGAUGUAUAGGGGCUGACGCCUGCCCGGUGCUGGAAGGUUAAGGGGAAGGGUGAGCGCCUUACGGCGCGAAGCCCUGAACCGAAGCCCCAGUAAACGGCGGCCGUAACUAUAACGGUCCUAAGGUAGCGAAAUUCCUUGUCGGGUAAGUUCCGACCCGCACGAAAGGCGUAACGACUUGGGCACUGUCUCGGCGAGGGAUCCGGCGAAAUCGUAGUACCUGUGAAGAUGCAGGUUACCCGCGACUAGACGGAAAGACCCCGUGGAGCUUUACUGCAGCCUGAUAUUGAAUUUUGGUGCGGUCUGUACAGGAUAGGUGGGAGCCUGCGAAGCCAAGCCGCCAGGCUUGGUGGAGGCGCCGGUGGGAUACCACCCUGACCGUAUCGAAAUUCUAACCCGCGGCCGUCCAUCCGGUCGGGGGACAGUGUCAGGCGGGCAGUUUGACUGGGGCGGUCGCCUCCUAAACGGUAACGGAGGCGCCCAAAGGUUCCCUCAGCGCGGUCGGAAAUCGCGCGUCGAGUGCAAAGGCAGAAGGGAGCCUGACUGCAAGACCGACAGGUCGAGCAGGGACGAAAGUCGGGCUUAGUGAUCCGGUGGUCCCGCGUGGAAGGGCCAUCGCUCAACGGAUAAAAGCUACCCCGGGGAUAACAGGCUGAUCUCCCCCAAGAGUCCACAUCGACGGGGAGGUUUGGCACCUCGAUGUCGGCUCGUCGCAUCCUGGGGCUGAAGUCGGUCCCAAGGGUUGGGCUGUUCGCCCAUUAAAGCGGCACGUGAGCUGGGUUCAGAACGUCGUGAGACAGUUCGGUCCCUAUCUGUCGCGGGCGCAGGAAAUCUGAGAGGAGCUGCCCCUAGUACGAGAGGACCGGGGUGGACGCACCGCUGGUGUACCAGUUGUCCCGCCAGGGGCACCGCUGGGUAGCCAUGUGCGGCCGGGAUAAGCGCUGAAAGCAUCUAAGCGCGAAGCCCCCCUCAAGAUCAGAUUUCCCACCGGGUAAGCCGGGUAAGACCCCUCGGAGAUGACGAGGUCGAUCGGCCCGAGGUGUAAGCGCGGCAACGCGUUCAGCCGACGGGUCCGAAUCGGUCGAGGGCUUAAC